rnacentral:rRNA from 1 species
UACGUAGGGUGCAAGCGUUGUUCGGAAUUAUUGGGCGUAAAGAGCUCGUAGGCGGUCUGUCGCGUCUGCUGUGAAAACUCGGGGCUUAACCCCGGGCCUGCAGUGGGUACGGGCAGACUAGAGUGCGGUAGGGGAGACUGGAAUUCCUGGUGUAGCGGUGAAAUGCGCAGAUAUCAGGAGGAACACCGGUGGCGAAGGCGGGUCUCUGGGCCGUAACUGACGCUGAGGAGCGAAAGCGUGGGGAGCGAACAGG